CCUCUCAAAAGGCUCCAAUUCCCAUUACGGCACCAAGGGAUUGAAGAAAGUGCCAGAUAUACCUUACAGUGCAAAUCAACUGGCUAGAUAUAAUGCUGAACCUACUGAAAGGCACUGGCAAGCCGCUAAGCAAAUACUUCGGUAUCUGAAGCAAAUAAUUCAUUAUUUGCUAUAUUUGGAGCCUGGUACUGACUUAGUUUUAACAGCAUAUGCUGAUGCAAGUUUUGCAACUGAUUUACCUACUCGUAAAUCAACAUCAGCCCAUCGGGUAGCAACAAUGGAACAGGAGGAGGACAGAUACCAAAAGUUAUGUUCUAUGCAUAACAUCAGAAAUUGGAACUUUGUUAUUAUAUAUGUUGACCUCGGCAAGACUAUUAGAUGCCCCAAAAUGGAAGGACACGGAUUCCUCCUAUGGAAGAAUGGUUGCAGGAGGUGAUGGGAAUUGGCUGAAAUGGCAAAAAUUGACCACUUUGAUUAAAGAAAAGAACAUAAAUACUUUGGUUUCUACACGGA